CGCGAAUCCUCCGACAUUUUAUACUGCACUAACCGACUUUUGGGACAGGUUCGUUGGAACGAUAUAAUUAAAGGUCUCCGUGUUGUAUAUAACAGAAGUCGACGAGACUCAAGACCUACGUUCGAUGUUUAACACAAUCUAGCAACGAUAGGUUUUUUUUAUACGCCGUCAUAAAACGUAAUUUUCACAUAUUUAAUUAGCGUGUAACAAUAUUGUGAUCGGACAUUCAUUUCUGUAAAGGCGACUAAAGGACGAUGACAUUUUCGAAAAACGACUCAUAUCGUUUGCUUUAGAUGCGUCGUUAUAAUUGAACAUUUACCUAUCGUGUUUUACAGCUGUGUUCGCAGAUAACAGCAACAGC